GAAUAAACUGCAAUAAUGCAUAAUGUAUUUCAAUAUUGCUAAAUGAAAAAGAGACUUGAGAUGUGUGAAAAAGAAACAGUACUACCUAAUUUGCAUUUCCUGAAUAUUCAUGUUCAAUUAUUACUCCAAAUUAAUAGGCCCAUUUUAAAACUCCAUGCAAAUUUCAGCUUGUACUGCACUGUUUGCCCCCAGUUGGGGAACACUGGACCAUUAUGACUUGAACUAAUGUUAUCCUAUUGAUGGUGUUCUUCCUAUUGACUGGUGGUGUUUUUGUUUUGUUUUGUUUUGUUUUUUACAAUAACAAGAAAUGCAUCGCAUUACAAAUUUUAAAGUGUAUCUCAAUUUAAAAGUGGGACUAUUUUAAUUUUAUUCUUAAGACUCAUCCUUUCAAAAAUGCACUUCAUUUUUCAAAUGAUAAAAAACAAGUUAAUCCAUAAACUGGCAAAGUAAAGAUGGAAUGAUACUAGUGGGCAAGUUCUUAUACAUGGGGUCUUAACAAGGACCUUGAAAUGUUGUCUUCUGUGUUACAUCAAAUUGAUUUCCAACAUGAAAUAAGUAAAUGGAUGCAAAGGGGAGCAGAAGCAUGUCCCAAGGUCUUUCUGUAGGUGUUGGAUACAAUACAGAUUUAGAAUAAGUUGUUGACUGAUGUUUUAACACAGUACAUUCUUAAACUAAAUGAUCAAAAGCAUGUACCAUUGGUGAUGAAAAUAAAACCUUAGAAAAUCAUUUAUUCAUUAAUUAGGUCAAUCAGUCAGGAAAUAUGUAUCCAUCUCCUAUUAAAUGCCAAGUAUUAUAUCAGGUUUAGGAAUCUAUAGAUAAGAGAGAAGAAACCCACCUUCAAGGGAUCUCAAUCAAGGGAGGAAAAGAAUUAGAGAUAUCCACAAUGUUGAUACAAUGUAAUACAUGCAAGAGAAAGGUUAGUAUGUGUCAGACCUCCAGCUCUGCAUCCAGUCCCGGACACUCAGCAAUGUGCCACAGAAGAUACAGAGCAAGAGACAAUGAACAUGAAGGGAACUCCCUCUAUACCCCUCAGAGGCAUAAUACCCCACAAGUUGUUGCAAGGGUAGUCAGGAAGCUAGGUGCCUUAUGUAAAUAAUCUUGGCAUUCUACCCUUUCAAUUAGGCCAGUAGUUCUAAAUAUGAAACAGUUAGCAUGCUUCCACACAGUGUUUUCAACCAGUCUAUUUGUAGAAGUACAAAGACCCCUGGACAACACUGGCCUGCACCUUCCUCUCUGUUUACGACUGCUGGGACCCAACACCACAUUGGCUGGAAGAGCCUGGGACAGUGCCUCUCCUCGCCAGCUAGGUAUAGAUUUGGAACAGCAGAUGAGCUGGGAGAUGGGGGAGGCAGGGAAGUGAUUCUUAAAUUCAAAAUAUUAGAUGAUAAUACAGCAAAUUAAGAAUUGUUAAUUAAGCUACAUAUGACAUAGGUGGCUUUCAGCUGUUAAUGUUUAUUGUUCUUUGCUUAUGACUCUUGCCAUCCGAUAUAAAUUUACUAUGAAGUUUACCAGGAAUGAGAAUACCAGAGACCAUCCUUUUAUGAAAUGAUAAGCUCCUUGAACUUCCUUGAGAGAUAAUACACACAUAUUUAUAUGUAAAUAUACAAGAGGAAUUGGCAUGUUUUACCUGGAAUAAAAACAAAAUAGUUCUCUCUUCAACAUCUCUUUACAAUAUUCCCAUGUGUUCAGACACUAUAGGACAACCUUAAAUAGAAAAGACUAUCAAUCUGAACAAACUAAUUUGCAUUAAUAUUUUUUCAGAGUCAGCCCCAUGUCCAAACUAAGAAAUAUAUGUAGUGUAUAUGUGAAUAUAGAUGGAUGUAUGCCUACUUAUCCAUAUCUGUAGCAGAGCUUUAAUCACAUCUCUGUCUCUAUGCAUCUAUGUGCAUUUAUUUAACAUAUUUCUCUUUAGUCAAACCCACCACUGAAUUAUUUAUAUUAUUCAUUUUUUUAAGAUUGCUGCCAUUGAAAGAUAGAUUCCACUAACACUUCAACAAUAUACAGCACCUGAGUCUGUCUCAGUAAUUUUUUUAAAAUUUAAAAAGCAUAUUUAGUUAUAAAUAGCAUUAUACUACCUGCAAGCUGAUUUAUAAUCUACAGAAAGGGCAUGACAACCCUUGCCAGAAACUAACCCGAUUGCAUUGACUUUGGAGCUUUCACCAUUUGUAAAUUGUUUAAUUGUCUCAGUAAAAUCAUUCAUUACUCCUUGCAAACACUAGCAGGGAAACUACACAGACAAUUAUUAGAUUAAGUUAAAUUUAGGUUGCUUUGAUUGUAACUGCCACAAAAAUAAUCAAAGAAAACAAUCUACCUUUCUCAGAUAUUAUAUUUGACUUAUUAGAUUGCAGUUUAAACUCCUGGAAAGGGUGAAAAGGGUGGUGACGGCCCUAUAGACAGUUCUCUCCAGUCAUUUAUUUCAAGACUAUUUACUUUAUAUCACCAGAGCUUCCUCCUCUUAACAUGUUUGCUUUCUCAUUAAUUUUUCCAUGACCUGAAUAAAAAGAGAGAAGAACCUUAGCACUCCAAACCACAUUUUCUAAAUCAAAUACUUCAUAUACUUGUUGCUGAGAUACUAUCAAAUACAGUCACCAAAGUCUGACAACAAAUCAGGUGAUUAAUCUCAUGUACAAUGUAAAUCCAAUGAUGGUUGUCACUUGCAAGAGAAACUGAUAUAAAAAAGUACAUGUCCGAAUGCUUCUACACACUGACAUAAUUGAUCAAUGAAUAUAAGCUGAUUAGAAAUACUCUGGGUAUUCUGGAGGAAGAGGAAGAUUAUACAUAGUUUCCCAAUGCAAACAUUUCACAGAUUAGUUGUACUGAGAUCAUAUUGAAACCCCUGAAUGGAAAGUCUAACAGAUUGGAAGGGGGACCACUGUGCGUGUGAAGGGUGCUUUUACUGUUCUCUCACUGUGUAGAAUGGUAACACGUGCUGUGGAUUUAGGAGUUUUAGCACUAGAAGGUAUCAUCCAUCAAUGUGCAUUGAAGUCUCUACUGCUGUCCUAAAACAAACCUAAAAAUAUCCACAAUUUAAUCUUUCACUGAGCUUGUGUUCUCUUCCACCUUCAGCUUUCAGAAUAUUCAUUUCCUAAAUUAAAAAAUAAUAUCCAUUCAUUGACAAUGUACCAUGCAUCAAGUCUACCAUAAAGAAAGUAACUCAAAAACCAAUAAGAUGUAGUCUCUAAACUCAAGACUCUUCCAAGAAAGUGAAGGAGGCUCGAGUAAAGAGAGGUUAGAAAUAAUAACGGAGGAAAGUAUGGAUGCCAUGGUGGAGCACAGGAGGGGUGAUUAGAUGUUGGAAAUAGUCAGGGAAAUGAUGUCAGCUGGAUAUUUUUCAGAAGAAUGGCAGAUUUUCAAUCAAGAAACAUUAAUUGACUGAAUGAGGGGAUGAAAGGUAGGGUGGAGAAGAAAGAGCAUUGUGCUAAGACAGAGAAAUGGGAAGGAACAGCAUGCCAUUACAGAAUGAGGAGGAUUUCUGUCUAAGAAGAGCACAAAUUACAUUUC